UUUCUCUGAAGGUUUGAAAGUGCCAAUGUUCUGCCACCUUCAGAAACAGGAGGGAAAGCAGACGUUUCCAUUCCCAGCUUGCUCAGUAGCUGGCAAUUGAAGACACUCCACAAUAGUG
rnacentral:snoRNA from 1 species